AACGAACGCUGGCGGCAGGCCUAACACAUGCAAGUCGAACGCCCCGCAAGGGGAGUGGCAGACGGGUGAGUAACACGUGGGAACCUUUCCAGUGGUACGGAAUAGCCCAGGGAAACUUGGAGUAAUACCGUAUACGCCCCUAGGGGGAAAGAUUUAUCGCCAUUGGGUGGGCCCGCGUCGGAUUAGCUAGUUGGUGAGGUAACGGCUCACCAAGGCGACGAUCCGUAGCUGGUCUGAGAGGAUGAUCAGCCACACUGGGACUGAGACACGGCCCAGACUCCUACGGGAGGCAGCAGUGGGGAAUAUUGGACAAUGGGCGCAAGCCUGAUCCAGCCAUGCCGCGUGAGUGACGAAGGCCUUAGGGUUGUAAAGCUCUUUUGGUCGGGGACGAUAAUGACGGUACCCGCAGAAUAAGC
rnacentral:rRNA from 1 species